rnacentral:rRNA from 1 species
AUUGAACGCUAGCGGGAUGCCUUACACAUGCAAGUCGAACGGAGUGGCGAACGGGUGAGUAAUGUAUCGGAACGUGCCCAGUAGCGGGGGAUAACUACGCGAAAGCGUAGCUAAUACCGCAUACUAUUGGAGCGGCCGUGAUCGGAUUAGCUAGUUGGUGGGGUAACGGCGCCACAAGGCGACGAUCCGUAGCUGGUGUGAGGGGACUACCAGCCAGACUGGGACUGAGAAACGGCCCAGACUCCUACGGGAGGCAGCAGUGGGGAAUUUGGGACAAUGGGGGAAACCCUGAUCCAGCCAUCCCGCGUGGGCGAUGAAGGCCUUCGGGUUGUAAAGCACUUUUGGCAGGAAAGCGGUACCUGCAGAAUAAGCACCGGCUAACUCCGUGCCAGCAGCCGCGGUAAUAC